AUUGAACGCUGGCGGCAGGCUUAACACAUGCAAGUCGAGCGGGGGAAGGUAGCUUGCUACUGGACCUAGCGGCGGACGGGUGAGUAAUGCUUAGGAAUCUGCCUAUUAGUGGGGGACAACAUCUCGAAAGGGAUGCUAAUACCGCAUACGUCCUACGGGAGAAAGCAGGGGAUCUUCGGACCUUGCGCUAAUAGAUGAGCCUAAGUCGGAUUAGCUAGUUGGUGGGGUAAAGGCCUACCAAGGCGACGAUCUGUAGCGGGUCUGAGAGGAUGAUCCGCCACACUGGGACUGAGACACGGCCCAGACUCCUACGGGAGGCAGCAGUGGGGAAUAUUGGACAAUGGGGGAACCCUGAUCCAGCCAUGCCGCGUGUGUGAAGAAGGCCUUAUGGUUGUAAAGCACUUUAAGCGAGGAGGAGGCUACUUUAGUUAAUACCUAGAGAUAGUGGACGUUACUCGCAGAAUAAGCACCGGCUAACUCUGUGCCAGCAGCCGCCGUAA
rnacentral:rRNA from 1 species